rnacentral:lncRNA from 1 species
UUGGCUUUGGAGGAAAAACAAUUGACAAAAACCUAGAUCAAUGUUUUCACUUUGCAAAUAUUAAUACAAGGCAUAGAAAUAAAUGAAAAAAGGUUGUGUGGAGAUCAAAUUCUAACCCAGAAAAUUCAGUGUGUCCCAGCAACUUGUUUAUACAGUAAACAAUCAGUCUGUGUUCCCUUGACAGGAAACUGCCAAUGGCCAUCAGAACAAUCACACAUUCUUCCAUUGGAGAAAGGCAGCCAGGACAAACUUUGAAAAUCUAAUAUGAUUGGUCAUAUGUCUAGAUCCUCUGGGUUUAGACUUCUGAAGUAAAAAAUCUCUAAAAGUUGUUUCUGGAAAGUGAAGAGAAUUAAAUCUUUAAAUGUAGUGAAAGUGAAGAGAGCAAAGUAAGAAAUGGAAACUAUUAACCAGCACAUGUAAUAAACAUAUGUAAAACUGUAUAAUCUAUAGCAAAUAGCAAAUACAUGUUCUUUUUUAUUAUGGAAACAUUUGUCAAUAUUUAUCAUAUUACCAUAAAGAAAAUCUUAAGAAAUUCUAAAACAUACAAACCUUAGAGCAACUCAAACCCAAGGUUACAAAUCAUUUACAAAAGUAUGUAGCCUCAUUGUGGAUAUUUUGGUUAUUAAACAAGAAAGAUGUAAAAAAUUUAAAUAAAUUAAAUAUUUAACUUAUGAAACUAAAGAUAACACCAACACAAUCCAAGUAAAAUUAUUAGAUAACUAAUGAUAAUAACAACUGAAUUUAAUAAAUUAGAAAACAAAAUGCAAUUAAUAACCAAAAACUUCUUCAGAGCAUUAAAGUUACCCCCUCUUCCUUGAAAGUAUUUAAAAGAAGAGACAAGAAGGAAGAGAACUACAACUUUUAAAAUAAAACAGAAGUUAGAAAUAUAAAUGUUAAGAGAUUAGAUGAGCUAGAAGAAAUAUUUCGUGCAACAUUAUGUCAAUACAUUUAAAAAUAUAGAUCAAAAUAAUAACUUCCUAAGAAGAUGAGUUGUUAAAAUUGGCUCAACAAAGAUGAAUCAAGGAAGCAUCCACACUAUUCCAGUAACCAGAAAAUAAAUGUAAAUAUUUGUCAAAGAUCUACUCUUUAAAAAGAUACCAGGAUUAUGAAUAACUCUUAUGUAAAUUUGAUAGCCUAGAGAAAAUGAACCAACUUCAUGAAUGACAUAACCAAAUCUCACACAAGGACAAACGGAUUAUCUAAAUAGGCACAUAUCUAUAACCAAAUUGAAUCAAUAAUUAAUAACUUUCCAAAACAGAUAGCACCAGACCUGCAUGUAUUCACUAGUGAAUCCAAACAGUUAAGGAAGAAAUGCUACUAUGUUUUUACAGUUUCUUCCAGAAAAUAGAAGGAAUACUUCCUAACACGUUCUAUGACACAGCAUUAACAUAAUACCAAAACUAGACAAAAACAUUACAAAAAGAGGAAACUAAAGACCAAUAUCUCUCAUAAACAUCGAUGCAAAAAUCUUCAAUAAGGUACUAGCCAAUCAUAUUUAACAAUAUAAAGAAUUAUGCACAUAGCCAAGUGGGAUUUAUUCUAGGUAUAAAAGUCUAGUUCAACAUUCAAAAAUCAAUGAAUAUAAUCUAUUACAUCAAUAGGCCAAAGAAGAAAAAUUAUAUAAUCAGUUAAAUCAAAUAAGUAGUUGCAGAAAAAAAGUUUGACCAAAUCCAACACUCAUUCAUCAUGAAAACUCGCAGUAAACUAGGAAUAAACGGGAACUUCCUCAACUUCAUAAAUAAUUAUAUACAAAAAACAAUAGCUAACAUCAUAAUGGUGAGAAAAUAGAUGGUAUCCUUCUAAGAUCAGGAACAAGGUAAUAAUGUCUGCUUUCACCACUCUUGUUCAGCAUCAUAUUGGAACCCCUAGCUAAUGCAAUAAGAGAAUAAAUGGAAAUAAAAUAUAUAAAGGUUUGAAGAAAGAAAUUAAGCCUUCUUUGUUAGCAGAUGACACGAUUGUCUAUGUAGAAAAUUUCAAAGAAUAAAUAAAUAAAUAAAUAACUCCUGGAGCUAUUAAGCACUUAUAGAAAUGUUGCAGGGUACAAGGCUACUAUACAAAAGUCAACUGAUUUCCUAUAUACCAGCAAACAACAGGAUUUGAAUUAAAAACACAAUACCAUUUACAUUAGCACUAAAAAAGAAAAUGAAACACUUAGGUAUAAAUC